rnacentral:rRNA from 1 species
GACGUAGGGCGCGAGCGUUGUCCGGAUUUAUUGGGCGUAAAGAGCUCGUAGGCGGCUCGUUGCGUCAACCGUGAAAACCCGGGGCUUAACUUCGGGCUUGCGGUUGAUACGGGCGGGCUGGAGUUCGGUAGGGGAGACUGGAAUUCCUGGUGUAGCGGUGAAAUGCGCAGAUAUCAGGAGGAACACCGGUGGCGAAGGCGGUUCUCUGGGCCUUACCUGACGCUGAGGAGCGAAAGCGUGGGGAGCGAACAGG